ACACGACUACAUUAGAUACCCCCGUAGUCCUGGCCGUAAACGAUGUGGACUUGGUGUUGGAAUGGCUCCGAGCUGCUCCAGUGCCGAAGGGAAGCUGUUAAGUCCACCGCCUGGGAAGUACGGUCGCAAGACUGAAACUUAAAGGAAUUGGCGGGGAGCACCACAACGGGUGGAGCUUGCGGUUUAAUUGGAUUCAACGCCGGAAAUCUUACCGGGACCGACAGCAACAUGAAGGCCAGGCUGAAGACUUUGCCGGAUUAGCUG
rnacentral:rRNA from 1 species